rnacentral:rRNA from 1 species
UAUGGAGGGGGCUAGCGUUGUUCGGAAUUACUGGGCGUAAAGCGCACGUAGGCGGCUUUGUAAGUUAGAGGUGAAAGCCCGGGGCUCAACUCCGGAAUUGCCUUUAAGACUGCAUCGCUAGAAUUGUGGAGAGGUAAGUGGAAUUCCGAGUGUAGAGGUGAAAUUCGUAGAUAUUCGGAAGAACACCAGUGGCGAAGGCGACUUACUGGACACAUAUUGACGCUGAGGUGCGAAAGCGUGGGGAGCAAACAGG